AUUGAACGCUGGCGGCAGGCUUAACACAUGCAAGUCGAGCGGAGAUGAGGUGCUUGCACCUUAUCUUAGCGGCGGACGGGUGAGUAAUGCUUAGGAAUCUGCCUAUUAGUGGGGGACAACAUUCCGAAAGGAAUGCUAAUACCGCAUACGUCCUACGGGAGAAAGCAGGGGAUCUUCGGACCUUGCGCUAAUAGAUGAGCCUAAGUCGGAUUAGCUAGUUGGUGGGGUAAAGGCCUACCAAGGCGACGAUCUGUAGCGGGUCUGAGAGGAUGGACCGCCAGACUGGGAAUGAGACACGGCCCAGACUCCUACGGGAGGCAGCAGUGGGGAAUAUUGGACAAUGGGGGGAACCCUGAUCCAGCCAUGCCGCGUGUGUGAAGAAGGCCUUAUGGUUGUAAAGCACUUUAAGCGAGGAGGAGGCUACUGAGACUAAUACUCUUGGAUAGUGGACGUUACUCGCAGAAUAAGCACCGGCUAACUCUGUGCCAGCCGCCGCAGUAACAC
rnacentral:rRNA from 1 species